rnacentral:rRNA from 1 species
GACGAACGCUGGCGGCGUGCCUAAUACAUGCAAGUAGAACGCUGAAGGAGGAGCUUGCUUCUCUGGAUGAGUUGCGAACGGGUGAGUAACGCGUAGGUAACCUGCCUGGUAGCGGGGGAUAACUAUUGGAAACGAUAGCUAAUACCGCAUAAUAGUAGAUGUCGCAUGACAUUUGCCUAAAAGGUGCAAUUGCAUCACUACCAGAUGGACCUGCGUUGUAUUAGCUAGUUGGUGAGGUAACGGCUCACCAAGGCAACGAUACAUAGCCGACCUGAGAGGGUGAUCGGCCACACUGGGACUGAGACACGGCCCAGACUCCUACGGGAGGCAGCAGUAGGGAAUCUUCGGCAAUGGACGGAAGUCUGACCGAGCAACGCCGCGUGAGUGAAGAAGGUUUUCGGAUCGUAAAGCUCUGUUGUAAGAGAAGAACGAGUGUGAGAGUGGAAAGUUCACACUGUGACGGUAUCUUACCAGAAAGGGACGGCUAACUACGU